rnacentral:lncRNA from 1 species
AUUUUUUUAUAGUGAAGCUGAAGAAGAAAUGCAGCAACCCCUACACUAACAAAUUUCAGUGGCUCCUAUACCUAAAAAUCUACCAAAUGUAGCUCCAACAAGUGCUGAAAAUUCACCAACAGCAACAGAAGCUACUGAUGCAACAAUUGAAUCCCAUCUUUGCUGUAUUUAAAAGAGGCAUGCGUGGAUGAUAUACUAUAAGGUAACUAGAAUUGACCAAACUAAAGAUCCAAUCACCUACUUUGUUUUAUUUUCAGAUUUUGACCCUACAACU